GGGUAUAGCUCAGCUGGUAGAGCAGCGGUCUCCAAAACCGCGUGUCGUGGGUUCAAGUCCUACUGCCC
rnacentral:tRNA from 1 species